rnacentral:rRNA from 1 species
AUGGCUCAGGACGAACGCUGGCGGCGUGCUUAACACAUGCAAGUCGAGCGAUGAAGCUCUUCGGAAGUGGAUUAGCGGCGGACGGGUGAGUAACACGUGGGUAACCUGCCUCGUAGAGGGGAAUAGCCUUCCGAAAGGAAGAUUAAUACCGCAUAAGAUUGUAAUAUCGCAUGAUAUAGCAAUUAAAGGAGUAAUCCGCUAUGAGAUGGACCCGCGUCGCAUUAGCUAGUUGGUGAGGUAACGGCUCACCAAGGCGACGAUGCGUAGCCGACCUGAGAGGGUGAUCGGCCACAUUGGGACUGAGACACGGCCCAGACUCCUACGGGAGGCAGCAGUGGGGAAUAUUGCACAAUGGGGGAAACCCUGAUGCCAGCAACGCCGCGUGAGUGAUGACGGUCUUCGGAUUGUAAAGCUCUGUCUUUAGGGACGAUAAUGACGGUACCUAAGGAGGAAGCCACGGCUAACUACGUGCCAGCCGCAGC